CAGCCGCCACGGGAAUACGUAGGGCGCAAGCGUUAUCCGGAAUUAUUGGGCGUAAAGAGCUCGUAGGCGGUUUGCCGCGUCUGCUGUGAAAUCCCGAGGCUCAACCUCGGGCUUGCAGUGGGUACGGGCAGACUGGAGUGCGGUAGGGGAGAUUGGAAUUCCUGGUGUAGCGGUGGAAUGCGCAGAUAUCAGGAGGAACACCGAUGGCGAAGGCGGCCAUCUGGGACAACACUGACGCUGAGGCACGAAAGCGUGGGGAGCAAACAGGAUUAGAGACCCCUGUAGUCCCUGUCUCUUAUAC
rnacentral:rRNA from 1 species